rnacentral:rRNA from 1 species
ACUCCUACGGGAGGCAGCAGUGGGGAAUAUUGCACAAUGGGCGCAAGCCUGAUGCAGCCAUGCCGCGUGUAUGAAGAAGGCCUUCGGGUUGUAAAGUACUUUCAGCAGUGAGGAAGGUGGGUAUGUUAAUAGCAUAUUCAUUUGACGUUAGCUGCAGAAGAAGCACCGGCUAACUCCGUGCCAGCAGCCGCGGUAAUACGGAGGGUGCGAGCGUUAAUCGGAAUUACUGGGCGUAAAGCGCAUGCAGGUGGUUUGUUAAGUCAGAUGUGAAAGCCCGGGGCUCAACCUCGGAAUUGCAUUUGAAACUGGCAAACUAGAGUACUGUAGAGGGGGGUAGAAUUUCAGGUGUAGCGGUGAAAUGCGUAGAGAUCUGAAGGAAUACCGGUGGCGAAGGCGGCCCCCUGGACAGAUACUGACACUCAGAUGCGAAAGCGUGGGGAGCAAACAGGAUUAGAUACCCCGUGGUAGGCGUAG